rnacentral:lncRNA from 1 species
GCUAAAUCUUACUUUAAGAUGAGACGCUUGCUGGGAUUCCAGCUAUGCUCUCUGGUUCCCCGGAAUCACUUUUCAUGGGAGACCAGAAUAAACCCCACCAGCUUCCACAGGAGCCAAUUGUUCUGAGGAGUAUCAAUCUGUAUUCUGGUCUGAAGGAAGCCUGGGCCUAUUUCUUUAGAGGGAAGUGUGAGAGCCUUACUUGAACGCCCGCUGCAUGGCCUUCUCUGCAAGGCCGUGGACAGAUGCUGGGGCGGGAGUUGGUUUGGGAGGCCCCCUGGCCAGGAUGGCAGGCAUGCUGUGCUCCAGCCCCCUCUGCAGAUUCCACCCUGGGAGGGUCUCCAAGUGGCAACAGCACCGAGAUUCCGGGACCACACCUGGCAGCACAGACGUCCAGGAUCAGGACUUUGCUGGACAAAGGCUUCUUGCUGUCUGGGCGUGGCCUCUCAUCACAUAGUUAUCUUCGAGUUGCUCCUGCCUAUAUAUCCAUCAGCUUGAUCAGGGCAGAGAAUGGGAUUAGAAGCAGAGGAAAUAAUUGUGGGCAUUCUGGGGAGUUGGGGGCAGUUUCUGUGGAAGUAUACCACUUUCCCCCUCCUUCUCUGGAUGGAGCUGUCGAAGUUUGGGCCAGAGCAAUGGGAUAG